rnacentral:rRNA from 1 species
GAGUUUGAUCUUGGCUCAGGAUGAACGCUGGCGGCGUGCUUAACACAUGCAAGUCGAACGAAGCACUGGAGAACGAAUCUUCGGAGGAAGUCUCCUUUGACUGAGUGGCGGACGGGUGAGUAACGCGUGGGUAACCUGCCUCACACAGGGGGAUAACAGUUGGAAACGACCGCUAAUACCGCAUAAGCCGGAAGGAUCGCAUGAUCCGGCCGGAAAAGAUUUAUCGGUGUGAGAUGGA